rnacentral:rRNA from 1 species
UACGGAGGGGGCUAGCGUUGUUCGGAAUUACUGGGCGUAAAGCGCACGUAGGCGGCUUUGUAAGUUAGAGGUGAAAGCCCAGGGCUUAACCCUGGAAUUGCCUUUAAGACUGCAUCGCUAGAAUCGUGGAGAGGUAAGUGGAAUUCCGAGUGUAGAGGUGAAAUUCGUAGAUAUUCGCAGGAACACCAGUGGCGAAGGCGGCUCACUGGUCCGAUACUGACGCUGAGGUGCGAAAGCGUGGGGAGCAAACAGG